rnacentral:rRNA from 1 species
GAGUUUGAUCCUGGUUCAGAUUGAACGCUAGCGGGAUGCUUUACACAUGCAAGUCGAACGGCAGCACGAGAGAGCUUGCUCUCUUGGUGGCGAGUGGCGGACGGGUGAGUAAUAUAUCGGAACGUGCCCAGUAGCGGGGGAUAACUACUCGAAAGAGUGGCUAAUACCGCAUACGCCCUACGGGGGAAAGGGGGGGAUUCUUCGGAACCUCUCACUAUUGGAGCGGCCGAUAUCGGAUUAGCUAGUUGGUGGGGUAAAGGCUCACCAAGGCAACGAUCCGUAGCUGGUUUGAGAGGACGACCAGCCACACUGGGACUGAGACACGGCCCAGACUCCUACGGGAGGCAGCAGUGGGGAAUUUUGGACAAUGGGGGAAACCCUGAUCCAGCCAUCCCGCGUGUAUGAUGAAGGCCUUCGGGUUGUAAAGUACUUUCGGCAGAGAAGAAAAGGUACCUCCUAAUACGAGGUACUGCUGACGGUAUCUGCAGAAUAAGCACCGGCUAACUACGUGCCAGCAGCCGCGGUAAUAC